CCCAAGCUGAAGGGGCUGUUCGCGCCCGUCCCGUACAUCCCGGGGCCCGGCAAGGUACACACCUACGGCAAGCCGUCGCUGCUGGACGCGUGGACGCAGGACAAGUGCCUGCAGGCGCAGCAGCUGCUCAAGAGCGGAAAGGACCCGAUCAGCUACACGAAAAGCGAGCAGUUCUACGUGGGGGUUUAUCACGCGAACGUGGCGAAGAUCCAGGAGGAGCAGGCCCGGUUCCAGAAGUACGCCCAGGCGCAGUGGGCGCGCUUCGCGGAGAAACGGGCGCAGCCCCAAGUGUUGGUGGACUUUGGCAGGGCGUGCUGGCUGUCCAGGUGGCAGCGCCUGCGGCGCUACCCGCGCUUUUACAGAUCGCUGGCCUCCACCCAGCUCAGCUUCAAUGAGCUGGACAGCGAGGUGCAGUUCCAGUGCUGGACCAACGCCCUUGACCUGGGGGCGCUGGCGCGCCUGUCCU
rnacentral:lncRNA from 1 species